AUGAACUAGAGGAAGCACCAAACAAUCUGAAUUCAAGAGUGAAGAUGAACAUACAAUCAUGGUUCCAACGUGCCAAAAGCAUAUCUUCAUCUUCAUCACAACCAUCAACCAAUCAAAAUGAAGAACACCAGUUGUACGGAAUCACAGACGACUUAAUCAACCUCCUCAAAUCAUUCACUCUCGAAACAUUCAGGAACUUCAAUCUCCAAGAUGAACAAGGAGCCGUUGAUGGACCUGAAUCCACGAAGGAUUUGUCUUCUUGGCAAGAGAAACAUGUUGUGCUUGUUUUGUCCAAAGUUAAGGUUAGGGUUUUUUGUGGUUUUGAAUUUAGGUUUUAGGGUUUAUUAAAAUGUUUAGUUUAACUGUAAUUAUGCAAUUGCAAUAGGCAUUUACAUUCAGAAUUGGAUAAUCUGAUGGUGAUUUGGUGUUUAUAUAAAUUAUUGUUGUUGCUUCACUAAA